rnacentral:rRNA from 1 species
UGGGGAAUUUUGGACAAUGGGGGCAACCCUGAUCCAGCAAUGCCGCGUGUGUGAAGAAGGCCUUCGGGUUGUAAAGCACUUUUGUCCGGAAAGAAAACGUCGUGGUUAAUACCCGUGGCGGCUGACGGUACCGGAAGAAUAAGCACCGGCUAACUACGUGCCAGCAGCCGCGGUAAUACGUAGGGUGCAAGCGUUAAUCGGAAUUACUGGGCGUAAAGCGUGCGCAGGCGGUCCGCUAAGACAGAUGUGAAAUCCCCGGGCUUAACCUGGGAACUGCAUUUGUGACUGGCGGGCUAGAGUAUGGCAGAGGGGGGUAGAAUUCCACGUGUAGCAGUGAAAUGCGUAGAGAUGUGGAGGAAUACCGAUGGCGAAGGCAGCCCCCUGGGCCAAUACUGACGCUCAUGCACGAAAGCGUGGGGAGCAAACAGGAUUAGAUACCCUGGUAGUCCACGCCCUAAACGAUGUCAACUAGUUGUCGGGUCUUCAUUGACUUGGUAACGUAGCUAACGCGUGAAGUUGACCGCCUGGGAGUACGGUCGCAAGAUUAAAAACUUAAAUGAAUUGAC